rnacentral:rRNA from 1 species
GUCCUACGGGGCGCAGCAGUAAGGGAUAUUGGUCAAUGGGGGAAACCCUGAACCAGCAACGCCGCGUGAGGGAAGACGGUUUUCGGAUUGUAAACCUCUGUCCUCUGUGAAGAUGAUGACGGUAGCAGAGGAGGAAGCUCCGGCUAACUACGUGCCAGCAGCCGCGGUAAUACGUAGGUGGCAAGCGUUAUCCGGAUUUAUUGGGUGUAAAGGGCGUGUAGGCGGGAAUGCAAGUCAGAUGUGAAAACUAUGGGCUCAACCCAUAGCCUGCAUUUGAAACUGUAUUUCUUGAGUGCUGGAGAGGG